rnacentral:rRNA from 1 species
UACGUAGGGAGCAAGCGUUGUCCGGAAUCAUUGGGCGUAAAGCGCGCGUAGGCGGCCCCGUAAGUCCGCUGUGAAAGUCAAAGGCUCAACCUUUGAAAGCCGGUGGAUACUGUGGGGCUAGAGUCCGGUAGGGGUGCGUGGAAUUCCUGGUGGAGCGGUGAAAUGCGCAGAUAUCAGGAGGAACACCCGUAGCGAAGGCGGCACACUGGGCCGGUACUGACGCUGAGGAGCGAAAGCGUGGGGAGCAAACAGG